AGAGUUUGAUCCUGGCUCAGGAUAAAACGCUGGCGGCGUGCCUAACACAUGCAAGUCGAACGCAGCCGAGGCAACUCGGCUGAGUGGCGGACGGGUGAGUAACACGUAGGUGAUCUACCCCGCGGUGAGGAAUACCGGCGAGAAAUCGCCGACAAGACCGCAUAGGCUCCGCAAGGAGCAAAGUCGCAAGACGCCGAGGGAUGAGCCUGCGCCCGAUUAGCUGGUUGGUGAGGUAAGAGCUCACCAAGGCUGCGAUCGGUAGCUGGUCUGAGAGGACGAGCAGCCACACUGGGAUUGAGAACGGCCCAGACUCCUACGGGGGGCAGCAGUGAGGAAUUUUCGGCAAUGGGGGCAACCCUGACCGAGCAACGCCGCGUGCAGGAAGACGCUUUUCGGAGUGUAAACUGCUUUACUGGGGGACGAGAACGGACGGUACCCCAGCAACCAGCCUCGGCUAACUACGUGCCAGCAGCCGCGGUAAUACGUAGGAGGCGAGCGUUGUCCGGAGUUAUUGGGCGUAAAGCGCCCGCAGGCGGUCUACCGCGUUUAGGGUUCCAGCUGUCGGCUUAACCGGCAGAGUGCCUUGAAGACGGGUAGACUCGAGGGCCAGAGAGGGACAGAGAAUUCCGGGUGGAGUGGUGAAAUGCGUAGAGAUCCGGAGGAAUACCAAAGGCGAAGGCACUGUCCUGGCUGGUACCUGACGCUCAGGGGCGAAAGCUAGGGGAGCGAACGGGAUUAGAUACCCCGGUAGUCCUAGCCGUAAACGAUGACCACUAGGUGUGGGAGGUAUCGACCCCUUCCGUGCCGACGCUAACGCAUGAAGUGGUCCGCCUGGGGAGUACGGUCGCAAGAUUAAAACUCAAAGGAAUUGACGG
rnacentral:rRNA from 1 species